UAGGGAAUCUUCCACAAUGGACGCAAGUCUGAUGGAGCAACGCCGCGUGAGUGAAGAAGGUUUUCGGAUCGUAAAGCUCUGUUGUUGGUGAAGAAGGAUAGAGGUAGUAACUGGCCUUUAUUUGACGGUAAUCAACCAGAAAGUCACGGCUAACUACGUGCCAGCAGCCGCGGUAAUACGUAGGUGGCAAGCGUUGUCCGGAUUUAUUGGGCGUAAAGCGAGCGCAGGCGGAAGAAUAAGUCUGAUGUGAAAGCCCUCGGCUUAACCGAGGAACUGCAUCUGAAAAUGUUUUUCUUGAGUGCAGAAGAGGAGAGUGGAAUUCCAUGUGUAGCGGUGGAAUGCGUAGAUAUAUGGAAGAACACCAGUGGCGAAGGCGACUCUCUGGUCUGCAACUGACGCUGAGGCUCGAAAGCAUGGGUAGCGAACAGG
rnacentral:rRNA from 1 species